GNNNUUUUUNUNUANGCUGGCGGCGUNCUUAACACAUGCAAGUNCGAACGAUGAUCNNCAGCUUGCUNNGGGGAUUAGUGGCGAACGGGUGAGUAACACGUGAGUAACCUGCCCUUAACUCUGGGAUAAGCCUGGGAAACUGGGUCUAAUACCGGAUAUGACCUUCCAUCGCAUGGUGGUUGGUGGAAAGCUUUUUGUGGUUUUGGAUGGACUCGCGGCCUAUCAGCUUGUUGGUGAGGUAAUGGCUUACCAAGGCGACGACGGGUAGCCGGCCUGAGAGGGUGACCGGCCACACUGGGACUGAGACACGGCCCAGACUCCUACGGGAGGCAGCAGUGGGGAAUAUUGCACAAUGGGCGCAAGCCUGAUGCAGCGACGCCGCGUGAGGGAUGACGGCCUUCGGGUUGUAAACCUCUUUCAGUAGGGAAGAAGCGAAAGUGACGGUACCUGCAGAAGAAGCGCCGGCUAACUACGUGCCAGCAGCCGCGGUAAUACGUAGGGCGCAAGCGUUAUCCGGAAUUAUUGGGCGUAAAGAGCUCGUAGGCGGUUUGUCGCGUCUGCCGUGAAAGUCCGGGGCUCAACUCCGGAUCUGCGGUGGGUACGGGCAGACUAGAGUGAUGUAGGGGAGACUGGAAUUCCUGGUGUAGCGGUGAAAUGCGCAGAUAUCAGGAGGAACACCGAUGGCNAAGGCAGGUCUCUGGGCAUUAACUGACNCUGAGGAGCGAAAGCAUGGGGAGCNAACAGGAUUAGAUACCCNGGGUAGUUCAUGCCGUAACGUUGGGCCUANGUGUUGGGGAC
rnacentral:rRNA from 1 species